UACGAAGGGGCUAGCGUUGUUCGGAAUCACUGGGCGUAAAGGGCGCGUAGGCGGCUUUAUAAGUCGGGGGUGAAAGCCUGUGGCUCAACCACAGAAUUGCCUUCGAUACUGUAGAGCUUGAGACCGGAAGAGGUAAGUGGAACUGCGAGUGUAGAGGUGAAAUUCGUAGAUAUUCGCAAGAACACCAGUGGCGAAGGCGGCUUACUGGUCCGGUUC
rnacentral:rRNA from 1 species